rnacentral:lncRNA from 1 species
UCCCAAAAAAUGUGCUUUUGUGAAAUUUCCGUCCCAUAGCAGGACAUACGCUCAAUAUGCUUUAGUAACUGAUACCAAACGGUUUCGGCAGGUUACUGCCAUAGUUGUUUUACUGGCAAAAACCAACAUCUUAUUUUUUUUUAUUGUUUAUUCUUGUGAGGAGAGUGAUAUCUAAAUAACCUGCUGGUUUUCACAAUAUAGGUUUUGGUUUUUAAUGAUAAGUUUGUGCAAAUGAGAACAUGCCUAUAUAGAAUAAGUGUAUCAAAGAUUCAGUUCAUUUCUCUCAACUAAGUAUCUCAUUUUAUAAUGUUUAUCAGGAUAUGUAGCUAGCUUCAACAUUUCUUAAACAUAUUUGCUAAGGUGUGGACUGAAUUGGGGGCUUAGCAUUGAGCUCCAAUGCCAUGUUUUUCUAGAUACGGAUGGAAUACGCCAGGAAACAGUUGUCAGAAAAAUUUAGAGUAAAUUCCUUUUUUUUACCCACUACUCCCUCCGUCCAACAAUAUGGGGCAUAUUAGGGUUUGGUUGACCAACCCUUUGACCACAAAUUACUUCAUAGAUAUGCGACUAAUGUGAUCAAAAUUAUUACCAUAAGAAAACACUAGUACAAAACAGGCUAU